rnacentral:rRNA from 1 species
UACGUAGGGUGCAAGCGUUGUCCGGAAUUAUUGGGCGUAAAGAGCUCGUAGGCGGUUUGUCGCGUCGUCCGUGAAAACCUGCAGCUCAACUGCAGGCUUGCGGUCGAUACGGGCAGGCUAGAGUUCGGUAGGGGAGACUGGAAUUCCUGGUGUAGCGGUGAAAUGCGCAGAUAUCAGGAGGAACACCUAUUGCGAAGGCAGCUUACUACACGGAGAUUGACGCUCAUGCACGAAAGCGUGGGGAUCAAACAGG